rnacentral:lncRNA from 1 species
AACUUCUGGGCUCAAGCAAUCCUCCCACCUCAGCCUCCAGAAUAGCUGGGACUAUAAGUGUGGAUCAUCAACCCUGGCUAAUUUUUUGAUUUUUUAUAGAGACGAGGUCUCACCAUGUUGCCCAGACAAGUCUUUAACUCCUGGGCUCAAGCAAUCCUCCCACCUCAGCCUCCUAAAGUGCCGGGAUUACAGGCAUGAGCCACUGUGCCUGACUUCCAGAUUUGCAUCUUAAAGGGCUGUUCCAUUGAAUGUCUGUUCUAACACGUGCCAUUUGGGAUCCCUUGGAAUCUUCAUGUACAGAACUGGUUGCUGCCUCGUUGAGUCGGUGGGGACAGAAUAGCUCCUGGUUGACAGCAUGGGUUGUGCAGAAGGACGGAUCCUGCAGACAUCAAUAUCUGGCUUUGAGUGGCACAAAGAAAUAAAGGAAUGUGGAUUCAGACCUCACUGGGAUGCUUGGCAAUUCUAAUUCUACCCCAGACUGCAAAUGGACACACAACUGUUGUGACUUUUGUUGAAGAGGAGAAGGAUGGGUGAGCAUGUGACGUUGGGAAAUUGUAUUUUCUUCUUCGAGUUCUUCUGUUUCCGAAUAUUUAAUCCUACUGUUUUCUUCUUUAGUGAAGGUCUCUUUAGUCAAUAAUCUCUUUGCUGAAAUUGCUUCGGGCAGCACAGAAGCUGGAUUCAGAAGCACACAGGUCUGGGGAUGCAGGCUUCGGCCAGCCUGAUGCAAGGAAAGACUGCCAUCUCGUGGUCAGCUCAAUCCUGGCACCUUGGUGAGGGACCAGGCUGCAGAAAACCAGGCUUGGGGAGGAAACGGUGCUGCAAACUGGAUUUCUGCCGGACAGUGUGGAUGCCCUUAGAAAACACCCAGAAAAGAGCUGAGUGCCCCCCAAGGUAGGCUUCAGUGAAUCCUCUGCAGGUGUGUUGUCAUCCCUUGAGCCAAACACAUGCUUCACACACACGCUGCAGGCUGCGUGAAAAUGAGGUAGAAAUGUGGGGAAAACAUAAUCCCAUGGAGAGAACAAAGAGCUGAACACGUAAAUGCCUCCGGCGUGCCUGGCAGAGAGAACACUCAGGCUGAGAGAAGGGACAGUGACUUGUACCAAAGGUAGGCAAGUAGCCUCUGGGGUCUCAAUCAGCAGGGCAUCUGGUCAACCCUUCAGACAAAGUCAGGUCUGAGCAGGCAAG